AAGCAAAGAAAACCAGUAUACACUUAUUACGUAUUCUUAAUAAUGAAAUUUAAGCAUUUUUAUCAGAGUUCUUUGAUCAUUUUAAACAUUUUUAUUUAGUUUUAUGAGUUAUGACAGUGCUUAUUGUGUCCCUUUGCUACCUCCAUCCCCCAGAUGCUAGUAAGAUCUAACAAUAAACUAUAAUAAGACUACAGGCCUCAUACAAGAAAGUCUGCUUAAAAACUGACAUUAUGACAUGGACUGUUGUUUUGUCCUUUCUCAUUACUACAGUAAUUACUCCUCAAGUACAUACUUAUUCAUUAUGACCACUCUAUGGAGCUAAACAGUUCUGUAGUGCUUAGAUAUGGAAUCAGAGAGUGAAGUCAGGCUAAUUAAAUUGGCCCAGUCUCUUUAGCAAGCAAAUUGGGCCAAGUUAAUUGGCACCAAGUGAGAUAAGGAAAUUCAGACACUGUUCUGUGAAAUACAAUUUUAAUUGUAUGCAAGGAUGAGCAUUGUGCCUAAUUUCAGAUUUCUUAAUUAGGAACAUGAAUAAACAGCAGUAAUAAUAAUCUUUAUGGACUACAAAUAAGAAAGUAUCAGAUGAAGCUUAUUUUUGCUAAGCAUGUUAGCUGUUGAGCAAAUAUGACUAUAUUUAUUAUGUUGUAAUUGUCUAAAAUGUAAAUUUAUAGCCCCAGAGAAAAAGUUAAUGUGGUGGGUGUGCAUCAAAAAGAAGAUAAAUCUGACAUAAAUAUUUUAAGAAACACUGUGGCCAGAGGAUUCAUUUUCAGUAAGGUAUUUUAAAACCAAAAGGUAAGAAAAGAUAUACUAUGAUCAGUGCAUUUUAAAUGCAAUUAUUCUUUCAGUUUAGGUGCAAUGGAGGACAUUCACAUUUGGCUUAAGUUUGUAUUCAGACACUUCAAAAUACCACUUCAGGUUUAACUUUAAGGAAAAACAGAACUUCAAGGCACUUUCAGUUAAUUGCCUCAGAUUAUAACAACAGUUGAAGCAGCUGGUGUAACUGCAUCAAGUCAAGGGUUCUGUGACAGUUUUUGUCACAUGAAGAGCCAAUCGGUCUUCCUCCACCAAUGAUUGAUUUUGAAAAGAGCAGACUAGAGUACUGGUACUCGUAAUAUUCACCAUACAAAUGCUAGCUAAUUAUUUACACCUCCUUGUUGGAAAAAAAAUAUUGUUAAAUUUACAAUCUGUGGCAGAUACUAAAAAAAUCCUGAGAAUCUGUACAGUUUCUACCUAUCUAUUCAUGUAAUACCCUGCACUAAGAGGCUGAUUUCUCUAUUAGUAGCUGUCAAACCUUUUCAUGUUGCAUAACAUAUGGUUCCUUGAACCUUCACUGGCAAAAUGAUCAAUUACUGAUGUUGUGGCUUUGGAAAUAGGUGAGUGAAACUGGCACAGAGUAGUUUAGUUACAAGUGUAAGCAAGAUCAAAACACAUUCAAUACAGUUCAAAAGCCAUGAACUUUUAAACUGGUUUAAUAGUUAUUCUGCAUUGCUUAAAAAGAAUAUUAAGAAGCUCUGCAUUAAGAAUAUCAAGGACAUAGCAACAAAUAAGUGUUACAACUAACAUAAGUGUGAAAGUUGUCCAUAUGUUCUUCACUUCCCUAAAGCUUAAAAAAAAAAAGGCCACAUUCUGUAACAGCUCCAGUUAAAGGACAUCAUCUUGGAGAAAAAGGCUGAAGGAUCACGUAUAUCCUAAUUUUUGAUAAACAAAAAACUACUCAAUAUGUUAUGAAGCUAAGUUGGUCUAAAUGAAUUCAAGUAUGGACUAUAUAGUGGCAAAUUCAUGAUCAGAAAAGACAUCUAAACAAGCCUCUCACAAGCCAGACUAUGUAGAAACACAUACAAUAAAUAACUGUUGAAGUAUAUUGGAAAAAUGUUGAUUAAUAAAAUAAAAAAUAAUAAUAACAUGCAACACUGUAAACCUUAUUUACUGUGAACUUUAAAUCAGCUGCUUACUUUCUGUCGCAUUAAGAAGGGUGAGUGAGUACAGAAUUUAAUUUUGCGUACCACAUCUUCUGAUAGUUGCAUACUGUUGCACAAAUAUGUUCUUUGUGUGAAAAACAACUUGAGAAGGUCUCGUCCACUGGUACAAGUACUAAAUAUGAGAUCAAGGAAUAGUGGCUCACCUCCUAGGAAUACUAAUCCUAUUUUGCAUUCAACAUUCUGUCUGAAGGCAUCUGAAAGCUUACGGUCAUAGCUGUGAUUUAUUCAUCUUCCUUGUGGCUUUCAUUUGACCAAGCUGUGUUUUUGUCCUGGGAAUGCAUUCUGAGUUUUUAACAGGUCUGGAUGACAUAUGAACAAUAGGAAACAACCAGACACUGAGAACACUUGAGACUGCCACACUGACUGGUCUUAUCAGAUGUUAAUUGAUCAGCUAGAGUUAAUUGAUCUGCCUUGAUCUGCUAGAGACUUGCAAGCCAGGUCUCUCCUU
rnacentral:lncRNA from 7 species